GACGAACGCUGGCGGCGUGCUUAACACAUGCAAGUCGAACGAUGAAGCUGGAGCUUGCUCCGGUGGAUUAGUGGCGAACGGGUGAGUAACACGUGAGCAAUCUGCCCUUGACUCUGGGAUAACUGCGGAAAACUGUAGCUAAUACCGGAUACUUUCACUGGAAGGCAUCUUCUGGUGAAGAAAGAAUUUCGGUCAAGGAUGAGCUCGCGGCCUAUCAGCUUGUUGGUGAGGUAACGGCUCACCAAGGCGACGACGGGUAGCCGGCCUGAGAGGGUGACCGGCCACACUGGGACUGAGACACGGCCCAGACUCCUACGGGAGGCAGCAGUGGGGAAUAUUGCACAACGGGCGCAAGCCUGAUGCAGCAACGCCGCGUGAGGGAUGAAGGCCUUCGGGUUGUAAACCUCUUUUAGCAGGGAAGAAGCGAAAGUGACGGUACCUGCAGAAUAAGCACCGGCUAACUACGUGCCAGCCGCCGCGGUAA
rnacentral:rRNA from 1 species